UACAGAGGCCCCAAGCGUUGUUCGGAUUCACUGGGCGUAAAGGGUGCGUAGGCGGUCGGGUAAGUCUGGCGUGAAAUCUCCAAGCCUAACUUGGAAACUGCGUUGGAUACUAUCCGGCUCGAGGAAUGGAGGGGAGACUGGAAUACUUGGUGUAGCAGUGAAAUGCGUAGAUAUCAAGUGGAACACCAGUGGCGAAGGCGAGUCUCUGGACAUUUCCUGACGCUGAGGCACGAAAGCCAGGGGAGCAAACGGG
rnacentral:rRNA from 1 species